CCAGUGGCCAACCGCAAGGAGGGAGCUGUCGAAGGUGGGUAUCGGUGAUUGGGGUG
rnacentral:rRNA from 1 species